rnacentral:lncRNA from 1 species
CCUCCUCUGAUUGGCUGGGGGGCUGGCGGCCAUUUUGUCAGUUGCUGAGGCAGUUGGGAUGGGCACAUCCCUUUCACCACAGAGAGCACCUUGCAGCUUCUCACCACCCAAAUCCUGCCAGUUGUGCCCAAUAUUGUGACAAAACAUUUAAGGGAAUGCAUCUGUAAAGAUACCAGUGCAAGAAGGUUUUUUUUUUUUUGGAUUAAUAAAGAAUGCACGAAAAGGAGGUGAUGUGGUUACACUGUGAGUGAGGCUAAUGGGACUUCUCAGACUGAAAUUACUGGUGUAGUACAGGCCAGAGCUCUUCUUGCUAAUUAGGGCUCAAUAUCUAGGCUACUACUGUCAUGAAGUCCCAUCUAUAUGGAGGGAGACUGGAAGUUCAAAUGGUGUUAGUGCAUACUUCUCUUGUCAGUUUCCAGCUUCAAGUUCAAAGUGACUACUUAAAAUGGCUGCGUAAGAAACAACACCAAAACUACAGUUCUUCCUCCAUUCCCCAGUGUUUCUGCUUUAACACAAAGAACAAGUAGAUGGUAACUGACUUAGCAAAUGUGGAAAUCCAGCAUACUUCAGAACACUUGCUUGAAAGAUGAAAGAGGAAAAAUCAAUAAAGAAAUGAGAAAGUUGCCA